rnacentral:rRNA from 1 species
GGAAUUUUGGACAAUGGGCGAAAGCCUGAUCCAGCCAUUCCGCGUGCAGGAUGAAGGCCCUCGGGUUGUAAACUGCUUUUGUACAGAACGAAAAGGUCUCUAUUAAUACUAGGGGCUCAUGACGGUACUGUAAGAAUAAGCACCGGCUAACUACGUGCCAGCAGCCGCGGUAAUACGUAGGGUGCAAGCGUUAAUCGGAAUUACUGGGCGUAAAGCGUGCGCAGGCGGUUAUAUAAGUCAGAUGUGAAAUCCCCGGGCUCAACCUGGGAACUGCAUUUGAGACUGUAUAACUAGAGUACGGUAGAGGGGGAUGGAAUUCCUGGUGUAGCGGUGGAAUGCGCAGAUAUCAGGAGGAACACCGAUGGCGAAGGCAGGUCUCUGGGCCAAUACUGACACUGAGGAGCGAAAGCGUGGGGAGCGAACAGGAUUAGAUACCCUGGUAGUCCACGCCGUAAACGGUGGGCGCUAGUUGUGCGAACCUUCCACGGUUUGUGCGACGCAGCUAACGCAUUAAGCGCCCCGCCUGGGGAGUACGAUCGCAAGAUUAAAACUCAAAGGAAUUGACGG